CCUACGGGUGACAGCAGUGAGGAAUAUUGGUCAAUGGACGAGAGUCUGAACCAGCCAAGUAGCGUGAAGGAUGACUGCCCUAUGGGUUGUAAACUUCUUUUAUAUGGGAAUAAAAUGUUCCACGUGUGGGAUUUUGUAUGUACCAUAUGAAUAAGGAUCGGCUAACUCCGUGCCAGCAGCCGCGGUAAUACGGAGGAUCCGAGCGUUAUCCGGAUUUAUUGGGUUUAAAGGGAGCGUAGGUGGAUUGUUAAGUCAGUUGUGAAAGUUUGCGGCUCAACCGUAAAAUUGCAGUUGAAACUGGCAGUCUUGAGUACAGUAGAGGUGGGCGGAAUUCGUGGUGUAGCGGUGAAAUGCUUAGAUAUCACGAAGAACUCCGAUUGCGAAGGCAGCUCACUGGACUGCAACUGACACUGAGGCUCGAAAGCGUGGGUAGCAAACAGGAUUAGAUACCCCAGUAGUC
rnacentral:rRNA from 1 species